GCUGGCAGAAUUCGCCCUUACUCCUACGGGAGGCAGCAGUGGGGAAUCUUGGACAAUGGGCGCAAGCCUGAUCCAGCCAUGCCGCGUGAGUGAUGAAGGCCUUAGGGUCGUAAAGCUCUUUCGCCUGUGAAGAUAAUGACUGUAGCAGGUAAAGAAACCCCGGCUAACUCCGUGCCAGCAGCCGCGGUAAUACGGAGGGGGUUAGCGUUGUUCGGAAUUACUGGGCGUAAAGCGCGCGUAGGCGGACUGGAAAGUUGGGGGUGAAAUCCCAGGGCUCAACCCUGGAACUGCCUCCAAAACUAUCAGUCUAGAGUUCGAGAGAGGUGAGUGGAAUUCCGAGUGUAGAGGUGAAAUUCGUAGAUAUCCGGAGGAACACCAGUGGCGAAGGCGGCUCACUGGCUCGAUACUGACGCUGAGGU
rnacentral:rRNA from 1 species